UACAGAGGUCCCAAGCGUUGUUCGGAUUUACUGGGCGUAAAGGGUGCGUAGGAGGCCGGGAAAGUCUGAUGUGAAAUCCCACCGCUUAACGGUGGAAUUGCAUUGGAUACUGCUCGGCUCGAGGAUCGGAGAGGAAAGCGGAAUUUCUGGUGUAGCGGUGAAAUGCGUAGAUAUCAGAAGGAACACCAACGGCGAAGGCAGCUUUCUGGAAGAUUCCUGACUCUGAGGCACGAAGGUUAGGGGAGCAAACAGG
rnacentral:rRNA from 1 species